ACCGUGUAUACACUUGUGUAUGUACACGUACACCUACAACACCGCUAUCGAGAAAACCAGGUCCCUCGUGCAGACGCUGGAAACUGGGUUAAACGUUAAACGCCUCCCCCGUUAUCGUGUAAUUUAACAAUUUCUCCUUCAAAACGUUUCAGCCUCGCGAUAAUUGCGAACCGUGGCCGAGGCGAGCAAGACGAGGAGCGCAAGCGGGAUUGAAAAGGGUUCGAAGCGUGCACCGUAUUUUAAUAAAAAAAAGAGAGAGAGAAAUAAAAGCCUGACACGCUUCCUUUCUUCCUCUCUCCUUCUCUUUUUCGCGCUUUUUCCUGGGAUUAUUUUUACACCAAGGUAAGAUAAUGGAGUUGAAAAUCUCGUGUAAACGGGAGGCGUGAAAAGGCGGCUGCGAAAAGUACGAGCGGGAUAUCGAUAUUCGUUGCGGAACUCGUGGAAUUGUUGCUCCGAUAUUUUGUCGCGGGUAAAAGUGAUUUAUCGUGUUGCACCGCGUCGCACGGAAUUCGAAAGUUUUCCACGGUUCGUGGUAAGGGUGGGGCUGCAACGGAUAGCAACAGGAUUCUGUGUCUCAGAGCUGCGUUGUUCGCGAGAAUUGUUUGCACAAAAGUAUCCACCGUACAAGAGAGCUUUACAAACUAUUGAAAGUAUCGUAUCUGCAUCGUAGAAUAGUGAAAGUAUCCGCACCAGAGUUCGUUGAACAGUGAAAAUAUCGCGUGCACGUUAAACCAUGGCGAGAGUGUAUCGAAACAUCGAAAUCGUAUCGUAUCGUCCACAAUGUUGCGUGGACGCGGCACAAGAACGAUUUGUCGCAAUUAGGCGAACUCGUUUUCGUUCGGAUGGUAAUUAAGAUGCAUGUGUGUAUGUGUGUGCGGGUGGAUGGAGGAAGAUUCUUGGCUGGAAGAGAGACAAAAAGCCGAGCCGUAAAAUGGGGUGGAAUGAAAAGAUGCGACACGAGGCGUUCCCUUUUCAGACGUGCAACCUAAUUUCCUAGUGUGAGGUGGUUCACAGAAAUAGAAUACCUAAUUGUGCUCUCUUCGUUGCUCUCAAGAUGCAAAUGGAGCGAUGCGGAAGAAGAUUGAAUGGAGUGGAGAGAGAGAGAGAGAAAGAGAAAGAGAAAAAGGAAAAGUUGACAAAAGAACGUGAGUUGUUAAAGGAACGUGGCUACGAAGUAAAUAGGUUAAAUAACAGAAGCAAGAAUCGGAAUACAUUAAGCAAAACGUAGAAAAACGUUCGCUGGCUUGCAAUUACCAGAAGAAAAAGAAAAAAAAAAAAAGAAAGAAAAUUCAUGAGAUUUCAACUGUAAAAGUAGCACUUUGACUGAUUAACGUGUUUAAAUUAUUCUACGAAGUCGAAAUACGGCCACUACUGAUUCAAAAAUUAAAGAUUCUGCAAUCCAGGGAAGAUUGUGAUUCAUAAAAAAAAAAAAAGUAAUGGUUCGAUACCGGAUCUUCCAAUAAAUCGUGGAUCGAAUUAAUAUUCAAGAUAGACAUCGAACUGGCGUGGAUAAAAAUAUUUUUCCGCAUUAUUAUCUUGCGCUAUAAAAUGAAAUGUCUCUCUUCGAUUCGAUUGAAUUUCCCACGUAAUGCAGCAGUAAUAGAUACCUUUUACGUGGUGCAGGUAUUCCACUUCGAGCAACUUUCCAUAUGAAAUGUAUCGAUAAAAAGUUA